UGACAGUAGAAUAGGAAUAAGCAUCGGCAACUCCCGUGCCAGCAGCCGCGGUAAUACGGAGGAUGCAAGCGUUAUCCGGAUUUACUAGGUUUAAAGGGUGCGUAGNCGGGGUAUCAAGUCAGUGGUGAAAUCCGGCAGCUCAACUGUAGAACUGCCAUUGAAACUGAUAUUCUUGAGUAUAGUUGAGGUAGGCGGAAUGUGUUAAGUAGCGGUGAAAUGCAUAGAGAUAACACAGAACACCGAUUGCGAAGGCAGCUUACUAAACUAUUACUGACGCUGAGGUACGAAAGCGUGGGGAGCGAACAGGAUUAGAUACCCUGGUAGUCCACGCCGUAAACGUUGAUCGCUAGUUGUUUGCGAUACAUUGUGAGCGACUGAACAAAAGCAUUAAGUGAUCCACCUGGGGAGUACGUUGGCAACGAUGAAACUCAAAGGAAUUGACGGGGGCCCGCACAAGCGGAGGAACAUGUGGUUUAAUUCGAUGAUACGCGAGGAACCUUACCUGGGCUUAAAUGUAAGACGACUAACAGGGAAACUUGUUAUCUUUCGAGCGUCCUACAAGGUGCUGCAUGGUUGUCGUCAGCUCGUGCCGUGAGGUGUCGGGUUAAGUCCCAUAACGAGCGCAACCCUUAUCGUUAGUUGCCAGCGGGUAAUGCCGGGGACUCUAGCGAAACUGCCAUCGUAAGAUGUGAGGAAGGUGGGGAUGACGUCAAAUCAGCACGGCCCUUAUGUCCAGGGCUACACACGUGUUACAAUGGUCGAAACAAAGGGCAGCUACUUGGUGACAAGAUGCUAAUCUCUAAAAUCGAUCUCAGUUCGGAUCGAAGUCUGCAAUUCGACUUCGUGAAGUUGGAUUCGCUAGUAAUCGCGCAUCAGCAAUGGCGCGGUGAUACGUUCCCGGGCCUUGUACACACCGCCCGUCAAGCCAUGGGAGCUGGGGGUACCUGAAGUCUGUAACCGAGAGGAGC
rnacentral:rRNA from 1 species